rnacentral:rRNA from 1 species
UACGUAGGUGGCAAGCGUUGUCCGGAAUUAUUGGGCGUAAAGAGCGUGUAGGCGGCCAUGCAGGUCCGUUGUGAAAACUGGAGGCUUAACCUCCAGACGUCGAUGGAAACCGUAUGGCUAGAGUCCGGAAGAGGAGAGUGGAAUUCCUGGUGUAGCGGUGAAAUGCGCAGAUAUCAGGAAGAACCCCCGUGGCGAAGGCGGCUCUCUGGGACGGUACUGACGCUGAGACGCGAAAGCGUGGGGAGCGAACAGG